CAGUCGCCACGGUAAUACGGAGGGGGCUAGCGUUGCUCGGAAUUACUGGGCGUAAAGCGCACGUAGGCGGCUUGGUAAGUUAGAGGUGAAAGCCUGGAGCUCAACUCCAGAAUUGCCUUUAAGACUGCCGAGCUAGCAGGUGAGAGAGGUAAGUGGAAUUCCGAGUGUAGAGGUGAAAUUCGUAGAUAUUCGGAAGAACACCAGUGGCGAAGGCGGCUUACUGGCUCAUACUGGACGCUGAGGUGCGAAAGCGUGAGGAGCAAACAGGAUUAGAUACCCCUGUAGUCCCUGUCUCUUAUAC
rnacentral:rRNA from 1 species